rnacentral:lncRNA from 13 species
UACAGCAAGUGGAUCAAACAGAGAAGGGCACGAUUAAUGCUCGUUAAAAUGCACGUACGGUUGAAGUUGGAUGUGACUUACACCCAAUAGGAUUGGGAGACUCAGGCAGAGCCUGGAAGUCAGACAGAAAUUUCAAGCAACAGUUUUUGGAAAACAUAUGGAGACCAGCCUGGGAAUUUUGUAAGUUUAAUUACUCAGCUUCCAUUGUUCUGUUACUUCAAAUACCCAGUACGAGAUGGAAUGAAGAAACUCUGACAAGAAUACUGAGAAUGAAUAUUAGCAGAAAAUGCAGAAAUUCUGCUCUGGCCUUGGUGUCAUCCUGUGGGCAUGGUGGGGUGUUCAUCCAUCACUUAAUGCCUGUGGUACAAUUUUCCUCUAUUUUUCACCACUCUUCACACUAUUGCAGAAGACUUAAAGAUCUCCAUGCAUCCAGGAUUUGCAAAGCCAUUCCUAAGGAAACCAGAAGUAUGUAACUGUAGAAUGUGUCUGUGUUUGCACACAACUGUUGGGCAAUUUUAGCCACUGAGAAUAAGGAUCAUAACGCCAAUAAUUCCCUCCAAACAUAAUGAAAGUGGGCAGUUGGGUGAAUGGGACAGACUCGAAUUAGUGAGGAAAAAGCUGCUGCAUCCUCAGUUCAGCUGUGACAGAGUGAGGAAUCCAUGCUAGAGAGAGGAGGAGACCGUGCUCCACAAAUCCUGCUUGUCCUGGAACCACUUGUGUACCACUGUUCUAGUUUAUUAAACCCAGUCUUGCAUUGAAAACAUGAAGGUUGGAAAGUCAACCACUCCUUAAGUAGUUCAAGAAGAUUUUGCAUUUUCUGCUUCUGCUUUAUGCCACAGGCUGAAAUCACACAACCUUGUCAUGUCUUCCCUUGGAUCUGAGCAGGAGCUCUUCAGCCGAGCUCAAGAAGCUUUUGGAAAAGGAUCUCAGGCACAGCGUGGGAUUC